rnacentral:lncRNA from 1 species
AACUUGAGUUUACGGUCCAAGAACAUUCUUAGACCGUAAACUCAUCUCCUUAGACCAUAAACUCUUCAAAUGGGUGUUAAAAUGCCUUUAACACCUUGUAUGGCUUGGAAUUGAACCUAGAACUUUGUAUGCUUAACCUUCAACCAUUAAAACCCAUGAAUCUUGGACAAACAUGAGUUUAUGGUUGUAAACUCAUGUGUUUAAGGUAGUAAACUCCCAAGAACAUCUUCAUAGACCGUAAACUACUUUUCCAAGGUCAAUUUAAGUCCCAAACACUUCCUAAGCCAUAGAAUGAACCCUAGAACCUUCCUUUGUGCAUUGUAAUUGACCUAAGACCACCAAAACACAUUGAAACAUGUCACACAAGAGUUUACGGCCGUAAACUCCUCGAAUGGUCCUUAGGUUGUUCAAUUCACAUUCAAAAGCCUUGAAACCAAGUCUAGCAUCAACCCACAAGUGUUAUAAGGCCAUUUAGCAACCAAGAACACCCCACCAUGAGUUUACGACCAUAAACUCAUGGGUAAUGGGUCAUUUGGACCAUAAACACCCAAAGGAGUUUACUCUUGGGGAGUAAACUCCAUAUCCAAACCAUAUUCGUCCAUAGAUGCUACCCGGGUCACUCCAAACACUUGGAUUGAAGUGUUUUCACAUCUAGAAGUGUUUGCUCUUAUCUAAUUAGUGGUUUGAAGUCUAAUUAGAUACAUUUGUUUAUCAUUCCAUAUUAAAUAGGAACCUCGUGCGUUAUCAAGCCCCGAACUGACACUUAGCAUCCAAAUCGACUCGUUUUCUCGACUGGUGAGUUCAUACCCCUACCCUUUUUCAGUGUUUUUAAAUGUUUUCAGGGGGAGAAUACAAGCAAAAGUACAAGAAUAUCUUGUACUUAAAGUAUUUAUUACAUUUAAACCGUUUGAUAUUCACAUGCUUUUAACAAUGGAAAACAGUAUUAACCAAACAUUAAACUAUUUGUGAAACUCUUAUAAACUGUUAUGUUUUAUAUUUCACAAAUGAAUAGUUUCAUAUUAUUAUUGUUAAAAGCAACAUAUUGAUACAUUUGAUUUGUCCUCGGUAACACUCAAUAGAGAUACGCGAGUGGAGGAUUCAUUGUUUUUCUGUAUUAUUACUAGUAAAUUUGUUAUUCCUAUAAAUUGGAGACACAUCCUCGGAAACACUCCACAGAGAUACACGAGUAUAGAUCUAUACGGGGCUAACUACCCCACACCUGGCUGCUAGCUACAACCGAACCGAAAGGUUCAAGGGUGACGAAAGUCAUAAAGUGAUGUGGACUACAUAUUGCCAUAUCUAGUCUAUCGUAUGGUUAUGGAACUCGCAAUUUGGAUAACAGAGAUUUACUUGUUAGUAAUAAUGGGUUAGUAAUUUGUUUACUUUAUCCUUAUUAGUUUUAUGUGCAUGUUAAAACUAAUACACUUCAUAAGGAUAACCAGGUCUUCAGAAUACAUCUUUUACAUUACAUUUCAGCUCAGUAACCAACUUUUAGGAAAAUAUGGGAUUUUCCUGGGAUAACAGUUGUUCAUAACCAGAUUUGUGUAAAAAAACAGAUAACCAAACUUUACAUAUAAGAAAAUAUGGGAUUUUCUUGGAUUUAUAACUUUUUCAGAAAUCGAAAGGAAACUUGUUCACUUUUCAGAAAACAAAACUGCUUAUGAACUCACCAGCUUUAUGCUGAUUUUCAAACAGCUUGUUUUCUCAGGUCCACAUUAGACAGGUACCCAGCGAUUCUUUUUGGCGAAGACAGAGUGCUUAGAAGAUGCGUCUUUACUUUUGUUCAUAUAUACAUAUGUAUAACAACUGUAAUACUUGGUUUUCAAACAAAUGUUAAUUCUAAUAUGUAAUGUAAUGUUUGUUUACUUCGCUUACUAUGUACAUUGGUUGUGAUACAUACAUGAAGUCACCUCCACCCCGAAACAUUUCCGCCCUGGGAUUCGGGGUGUGACAGAUUGGUAUCAGAGCCCUUGUUUAUAGUGAACUAAGUAUACCAAACCUUACAUGGUAUAAAACUAUAAACAUUAAGGGGCCUAAGUGCUCUGAACUAAAAGUAUACUUUAAAAUAUAAGUAUUUUCAAAAAGUAUAUAAGUAUACCUACCCGUCGAGAUCCAUAACUACAAGUAGAACAAAACAUAAGUAAAUGGGUGUUGUAUGAUGCGGUUAAACCUGGGCAGUUAUGUAGUCGUGUCUAGGAUCAAUAUAGCCUGGCCAACUAUAUUCAUUCGAGACAUAGCCAACAUGUGCUUGGGAGUGACUGUAGUAUGCGACAUGCCUAAAACUUACCCAAUACCCAAACAAUGAGCCGUCGUCGUAGCGAAUCAUGAAAUACUAUGGGAGUAUUUCUAGAGCCAGCUUUGUUAUAGAAAUCCUCAUUCCAACGUUGCUCCUCGAUCAUUCUCUUAGCGAUAAUUUAUCUGCUUUGAUAAUUCAUUCCCACUUUAUCGCUUAAUAGAAUUCAAUAUCUGUCAUAUCUCUUGAUUCAAUUCAGAGGACUUACCAUCCUCUUUUUCCUGAUCUUUAUAGAUCAAGAUGCCUCUAAGAAAAAGACCCAGCUCAAAGAACAAAAAUCCUCCUCCGCCACCACCUCCUCCUCAAAUUGAUCCUGCGAUGUUCCAGACAGCUGUUACUGCCGCAGUAGCAGCCGCCAUGUCGCAAAUGAACCCCGGUGGUUCAGGAGGUGGUCCCCAGCUUCAAAACCAGGAAGGUAGCCAGGGACACCGAAAGGAGUGUUCCUAUAAAGAUUUCAUGAAUGCGAAACCCACGUCCUUUGAUGGCACUGGAGGUGUCAUUUCCCUCACCCGAUGGUUCGAGAAAAUCGAAUCUAUCUUUGAAAUUUGUGCUUGUUCGAAGUCUGAUAAGGUGAAGUUCGCCACUUGUACCUUAACCGAUAAAGCUUUGACUUGGUGGAACGGCCGAGUCAAAUCCUUAACUCUACCUUUAGCUAAUGCUAUGGGUUGGGAGGCCAUGAAGGAAUUUCUUCUAGCUGAGUACUGCCCUCGGGGUGAAAUACAGAAGUUGGAGCAUGAGCUCUGGAAUCUGAAGAUGAAAGGUUCCGAUAUCGUCGCCUACACAUCCAGAUUUGAUGACCUAACACUACUAUGUCCGGGAUUGGUUACCCCGGAGAGUAAGAAGAUUGAGAGAUUCGUCUGGGGGCUAACCCAACUGACCAAAGGAAAUGUUUUAUCUGCGAGACCGGAUACAUAUGACAGUGCCAAAAGCUUAGCCUAGACUCCGAUUGACCAUAGUGACGACCACAAGGAAGCAACCACUACUCCUAAACCGACCAAGAGGAGUGGUGAGAAAAGAAAGUUUUGGAAGAAAAAGAAAGUCAGUCUAAUCAAGGAUCCUCAAAGAAACAAUAGACUAUAGCAGUCCAUGCUACUACUACCCCUGUUGCUGUUGCUUCUGUUGUGGGAUCCACAGCUCAAACACCUACUAGUAGAUAUGCUGGUAGCCUUCCUCAGUGUGAAAAGUGUAAAUACCACCAUAACCCUGGCCCCUACCGUGAGCUAUCAUGCACCAACUGUGGUAAAAAGGGGCAUACGACUCGAUUCUGCAAAGCACCAGCCCAAUCAGCCAAUCAAUCUUCUGGAGCAGGUGUUGGUCAAGCUUGCUACAAUUGUGGGGAAGUCGGGCAUUUCAAGAGAAAUCUCCCCAAGAAGACUAAAGCUGAUAAUACUGGAAGAGUCCUAGCCAUGGGACGGGAGGAGGUAGUCGCCGAUCCCACCGUUGUUUCGGGUACGUUCCUUCUCGACAACUCUUAUGCUAGUAUCCUUUUCGAUUCUGGAACUGAACGUAGUUUUGUUAGCCAUUCAUUCAAACAACUUCUUAAAAAUAAUCCCCAACCAUUAACCGAAACAUUUACCGUCGAGAUGGCUAACGGUGAGAAAGAAAACACUAGAGAUAUCUUCAUAGGCUGCAUCCUUACCUUGAACGACCAUACUUUUCCCAUUGAUCUUAUGCUAGUUUCCAUAAAGAGCUUUGAUGUCAUCAUUGGCAUGGAUUGGUUGAGUCCCAAUCAUGCUGAUAUCCUUUGUUAUGAAAAAGCCAUCCGUCUCAGCCUUCCUUCUGGUCAGACUCUCAUGAUCUAUGGAGAUAAGCUUAGCUCCAAUCUUCGCAUCAUUUCCUGCAUCAAAGCUCAAAAGCUUCUGCGAAAGGAGUGCCAAGCAUUCCUAGCCCAUGUAAUCAAUGAGAAACAGGAAGUUAAAGACCUCCCGAGCAUCCCCAAAGUCUGCAACUUUCCAGACGUCUUUCCCGAAGAGCUUCCGGGAAUUCCUCCUGAACGUCAAGUUGAGUUUCGCAUCGACCUAAUCUCUGGAGCUACCCCCGUAGCCAAGUCUCCAUAUCGUUUAGCUCCAGCAGAAAUGCAGGAGUUAUCCAGCCAACUUAACGAGCUACUCAGCAAAGGGUUCAUCAGACCGAUUUCCUCACCUUGGGGAGCUCCGGUAUUGUUUGUGAAGAAGAAAGAUGGAUCCUUCCGAAUGUACAUCGACUAUCGUGAGCUUAAUAAGUUGACCGUCAAGAACCGAUAUCCCCUUCCGCGAAUAGAUGACCUCUUCGAUAAACUUCAGGGAUCUAGCUACUUCUCGAAGAUAGACCUUAGGUCAGGGUACCAUCAGUUACGAGUUCAUGAGAGUGAUGUUUCCAAAAUAGCUUUCAGGACUCGGUAUGGACACUACGAGUUUGUAGUGAUGCCCUUCGGUCUAACCAAUGCAUCGGCUGUGUUCAUGGACCUGAUGAACCAGGUGUGUCAUCCCUUCUUAGACAAAUUAGUCAUCGUGUUCAUUGACGACAUCCUUGUCUACUCCAGAAGUGAAGAAAAUCACAAGCAACACUUGAGGUCAGUGUUGGAAACCCUUAGAUCCGAAAAGCUGUACCCGAAAUUCUCCAAGUGCGAAUUCUGGAUUCGUAAGGUAACUUUCCUUGGUCACGUGGUUAGUGAAGAAGGUAUACAUGUGAAACCUUCCAAGAAUAAAGCGAUAGAGAAUUGGUCGGCACCGAAGACACCCACAGAAAUCCGUCAAUUCUUGGGUCUCGCCGGCUAUUAUCGGAGAUUCAUCCAAAAAUUUUCCAGAAUCGCCAAAUCUCUAACCACUCUAACACAGAAAGGUGUACCCUUUUGUUGGAGUGAAAAUCAAGAAUCUGCGUUCCAAACGUUAAAGCGAGCCUUGUGCAGCGCGCCUGUUCUGUCCCUGCCCGAAGGGACGGAGGACUUCGUUGUUUAUUGUGAUGCAUCUAAUCAGGGAUUAGGCUGUGUGCUUAUGCAAAGGGGAAAAGUAAUUGCAUAUGCCUUGAGACAGCUGAAGGCACACGAGGUCAACUAUACCACUCAUGACUUGGAACUAGGAGUUGUAGUCUUUGCACUGAAGAUCUGGAGACAUUAUCUCUAUGGGACCAAGUGUACGCUUUUCACUGACCAUAAGAGCCUGCGGCACAUCUUCAAUCAGAAGGACUUAAACAUGAGGCAACGACGAUGGGUAGAGUUGCUCAGCGAUUAUGGGUGUGAGAUUCCCUAUCAUCCUGGCAAGGCCAAUAUGCUAGCAGAUGCCCUUAGCCGAAAGGAAAGUUCAAGCCGUAGAGUGAAGACACUGACGAUGACUAUCCAUUCCCAUUUAUCCAAGCAAAUCCGAGACGCCAAGCCCUCAAACUAGAGAACGUGUCAAAUGAAGUCUUGAGGGGAAUGAAUAAGAAACUUGAGAUCAGAGGUGACGAAGUCUACUGUUUCAUGGACCGAAUUUGGACCCCAAAGUUCGGAGGAUUUAGGGUGAUUGUCAUGGAGGAAGCACACCAGACUAGAUACUCUGUUCACCCAAGUUCGGACAAGAUAUACCUGGAUCUCAAGAGACAAUACUGGUGGCCAAACAUGAAAGCUGAGAUAGCUACAUUCGUGAGCAAGUGCCUGACUUGCGCCAAGGUGAAAGUUGAGUACCAGAAAGCCUCGGGUCUGCUCCAACAACCCGAAAUACCUGAAUGGAAAUGGGAGACGAUUACCAUGGAUUUCAUCACCAAGUUACCCAAAUCUCCGAGUGGGUACGAUACCAUUUGGGUAGUUGUCGAUCGUUUGACAAAAUCCGCUCACUUUAUUCCGAUUAAAGAAUCGUUCAAGAUGGAAAGACUCGCACAGAUCUACAUCCAGGGGGUAGUUCGACUGCACGGUGUACCUGCGUCCAUUAUCUCUAACCAAGAUAGCAGGUUUACCUCCAGGUUUUGGCAGUCCCUUCAGAAGGCUCUUGGAACUAAAAUAUACAUGAGCACGGCUUAUCAUCCUCAGACCGAUGGACAGAGUGAGAGAACUAUCCAAACUCUGGAAGACAUGCUGAGGGCAUGUGUCAUAGAUUUUGGAAAGUCGUGGGACACACAUUUGCCUUUGAUAGAGUUCUCAUAUAACAACAGUUACCAUACCAGUAUCAAAGCUGCUCCGUUCGAGGCCCUCUACGGUCGCAAGUGCAGAUCCCCUCUGUGCUGGGCCGAGGUAGGAGACACGCAGCUAGCCAAGACUCAAUUCCCUGACAAUGCUCUCAUUAGUCCUAAAAUUAUCCGCGAAACUACCGAAAAGAUCAUCCAAAUCCAGGAACGAUUGAGAGCUUCACCAUAUAGAUAGAAGAGUUACGUCGAUAUACGACGGAAACCUCUGGAGUUCCAGGUUGGAGACCGAGUCCUGUUGAAGGUCUCGCCCUAUUGAAGGACCCUUCGAGAUCCUCGCCAGGAUCGGUCCUGUAGCCUAUAAACUCCAACUACCUCAAGAGCUUAGUAACAUCCACCCCGUCUUUCACGUCUCGAACCUUAAGAAGUGCCUAUCUGAUGAAACCCUCGUGAUUCCAUUAGACGAGAACGAGAUCAAUGAAAACUUGAACUUCGUGGAGGAACCAGUCGAAAUCAUGGAUCGAGAGAUCAAACGUACGAAGCAAAGCCGCAUCCCGAUAGUGAAGGUUCGCUGGAAUGCCAAGCAGGGACUGGAAUUCACUUGGGAGCGUGAAGACUCGAUGAAACAAAAGUAUCCGCAUAUAUUUCCAGAUCCAUGAUUUGUAUCUUAAUCUUGAAUUUCGGGACGAAAUUCCCUCUAACGGGGGGAUAAUGUGACAACCCGAAGUUCAUUCCGUUAUUGUAACAUGUUUCUGUAAAUUAAGCCGUUACGUUCCAAUUUUUCCGUUAGCUUUGUUUUAGAUUAAUUUAUUGCGACUUCUAUUUAGGUUUUAAAAGUGUCGAGAAUACAUUUUGAAAACAUUAAAAUAUUUUCUAUUUCCAUUUAGAAAAUAUUUAGUUUCAUCUAAGUCGUAAUUACGGCAACUUUAUCGGGUGCGACCAAAAGGCUCGUCUAACGUUAGUAUCGGGUAAAAUUCCACCGGGUCUCAAACCCAACCCCUAUAUAAAGGUUGAGUGGACAACUUUUGAAGACUUUUGCACAUCUCACAACUUUCUCUCACUACUCUCUCUCUAGAACUCGAAAUUGGUCCAAAAACCCCCCUUUCAAGCCUCAAUUUGAUAAGCAAUCUAUCCUAACUUGUAGUCUAACUUGAUUGGCAUGCAAAUCUAUGUUUGAAUCACUCAAAAACACCAUGAACAUGUUUUUACGGUUUGGGGACCCUCCCAAUACCGUGAACACCCCUAAGCAGGGUUUUGAAGCUCCAAAACCCCUGCAAACCACUUCUAGUGCUUAGAUAUGGCUUUGAAACUUGCAUGCAUGAGCUUAGGACCCCAAAAUCACACCAUUUGAGGCAUGGACAUAAUUUUACGGUCCAAUAACAUGCUUGGACCGUAAACCCUCAUUCAUAGACCUUAAACACCUUUUAGGGUGUUAGUUUGCCCCUAAACACCUCCAAUGAACUUCCAUGAGUGCAUAGAACCUUAAAAUCCUUCAAGAAAUGCACCAAAUCUUAAACAAAUGAGACAAACUUGAGUUUACGGUCCAAGAACAUUCUUAGACCAUAAACUCAUCUCCUUAGACCAUAAACUCUUCAAAUGGGUGUUAAAAUGCCUUUAACACCUUGUAUGGCUUUGGAUUUAACCUAGAACUUUGUAUGCUUAACCUUCAACCAUUAAAACCCAUGAACCUUGGACAAACAUGAGUUUACGGUUGUAAACUCAUGUGUUUAAGGUAGUAAACUCCCAAGAACAUCUUCAUAGACCGUAAACUACUUUUCCAAGGUCAAUUCAAGUCCCAAACACUUCGUAAGCCAUAUAAUCAACCCUAGAACCUUCAUUUGUGCAUUGUAAUUGACCUAAGACCACCAAAACACAUUGAAACAUGUCACACAAGAGUUUACAGCCGUAAACUCAUAGUUUACUGCCGUAAACUCCUCAAAUGUCCCUUAGGUUGUUCAAUUCAC